rnacentral:rRNA from 1 species
AUUGAACGCUGGCGGCAGGCCUAACACAUGCAAGUCGAACGAGUGGCGGACGGGUGUGUAAUUUCUGGGAAACUGCCUGAUGGAGGGGGAUACCUACUGGAAACGGUAGCUAACCCCGCAUACCCUCGGAUGUGCCCAGAUGGGAUUAGCUUGUAGGUGGGGUAACGGCUCAUCUAGGCGACGAUCCCUAGCUGGUCUGAGAGGAUGACCAGCCACACUGGAACUGAGACACGGUCCAGACUCCUGCGGGAGGCAGCAGUGGGGAAUAUUGCACAAUGGGCGCAAGCCUGAUGCAGCCAUGCCGCGUGUAUGAAGAAGGCCUUCGGGUUGUAAAGUACUUUCAGCGGGGAGGCGUUACCCGCAGAAGAAGCACCGGCUAACUCCGUGCCAGCCGCCGCGGUAAUUC